UNAAAGAGAUAGGAGUUGAACCUACGUCUAAGG
rnacentral:tRNA from 1 species